UAUUCAAAAUGCCAAAAAUAUUUUCUUAACACAUUUGGAUCAUGAGAAGUCUAUGAAAAUAUUCUCAUCAAUUUCUUAAUUGAUUUGAGAUUUCUUUGAGAUUUUAAUUCAUUUGUGUUAUAUUUUAAUGCUUUUAAUUGAUUUUAAAAUAAUUUCUGUUUUUAAAAAAUACCAAAAAUAUGUUUGACCUUUCUUGACUUCUAAUCUUCAUUUCACUUCUAUUU
rnacentral:lncRNA from 1 species